rnacentral:rRNA from 1 species
GACGAACCGUCCAAACGUUAUUCGGAAUCACUGGGCUUACAGAGUUCGUAGGCGGUCUGGAAAGUUGGGUGUGAAAUCCCUCGGCUCAACCGAGGAACUGCGCUCAAAACUGCCAGACUCGAGGGAGAUAGAGGAAAGCGGAACUGAUGGUGGAGCGGUGAAAUGCGUUGAUAUCAUCAGGAACACCGGUGGCGAAGGCGGCUUUCUGGGCAUUAACUGACGCUGAGGAGCGAAAGCAUGGGGAGCAAACAGG